CGGUACUCGACGGAGACAAUUAGGGCUUGGAGAGCCAGGGCCAUGCGAGAGCAGGAGUCGUGGAAUGGUUUGGAGGCGGCGGAGAAGAGGACGAAGCCGCCUCCGUGGAAGUAGAUGAUGAGAGGGAGGCGGGGGUUUGGGGGGAGAGGGUGGGGUUUGAAGAGCCUGAAGAAGGUUUUUGUUUCUGGGUUUAAGGGAAUGUCCUUGGAGAGGACGAGUUGGGGAGAGUUGGAGUCUGACUCGGCGGCCGUGGCGGAAAUGGACUCGGUGGGGGUGGGAGUUGGGGAGACGGUGGGGAAAGGGGUGAAGCGGGUGAGGGAGCCAUCAGGGUUGGGGAGGAUUUUGAGGAGUUUGUAGGGGUCAAUGGAGGUUGGGGAUGAAGAAGGUUGAUACGCCAUGGAUGUUGUUGAAACUCGCAGAUGAAGCGUUUGUGCAAAUGCUUAGCUGAAAGAAGAGGGUUUAUAAGUUUAUAUGUGGAAGACAAUGAGUGACGAGUGACGAGGUAAUAGUGGGAAAAAUGGUUAGGUGUUUGGUGAAGAAAAUUAAAGUGAAGACUUGGGGACUACCUGUUUUAGUUGCAUGCUAUUGAAUUCUCGACCUAAAAGUGAACUGAUUAAUUGAUUGGGAUUCAGUUGGGUUUGCACGCGGGUGGGGAUAUGUGUGUUAACAUCCAAAUUUCACAAGUAAGGAGUGAGGUGCUUAAAAAAAAAAAGCACCCAUAAAAAAAAAGUUGUGAAAGUUUUAGGUGUUUGGUAAACUGAAAAAAAAAAUACUUAUUUUGGAAGCUGCUGUGAGAAUAAGCUGAAAUCAAAGGAAAAAGCUGAAGCUGUUAUUUGUAGUUUUGGAAAACUGGCUUUUUUUCAAAGCACACGGAGCUACAAUGCUCCUUUAAUGAAAAGACUCACUAUCAGACUGCUUUUUUUUUCCAAAAGCACUUUUACAAAAAAGUUUACCAAACACUCUGCUGAUUUAUUUCACAGCCGCUUAUUCUCACAGCACAGCCGCUUAUUCUCACAACAGUUUUUUUUUAAAGCACAGCAAUACCAAACCAGCCCUUAGUAUUACGAUCUCGUGAUAUUUCUCUUUAUUUUUAAAUAAAAAAUUUUAGGUUCGAUUAUCGCAAAAAACAAAUUUGAACCAUAUUAUUACUAGUCCGUUGUGAAACUUAAUUCACCCACUCCUUAGUGUAGGUAUAUCGUUCGUUCGAAAAAAAAAAAAAAAAAAGAUCCCACAAAGGUUAACAUGCGGCUUGUAAUCAGUAUCGGAAGGAGAGGGGGGAGUGGGGUAGGGUGGAAUGAGAAGCUUCACCCACUCUUCUUAGUGUACAUAUAUUGUUUGUUCGAGAUAAAAAAAAACAGAUCUCACAAAGAUUAACAUGCGGCUUGUAAUCAGUAGCGGAAGGAGAACAUGACCCCAACAACUUUAUAUUAUUACUCCACACAAUUUUGCUAUUAAUCCCCAUAUACCCCAAUAAGAAUUUCCAAUAAUUAGGUUCAGUUUAAGUUUAUGUCUGCAUGCCUUUGAUUUCUGUCAUUUAUCAAAACACACAUUUUUUUUUUGAAAGAUAUCAAAACACUAUUAAUCAAUAAUAUUUCGUAGUGAGUUCAAUCAAUUUGAUUUUCAAAUUAUUAUCAUAGUUUAAUGAUUGAAUUAUUAUUUAAACGUUGAUUAAUGUGCUUAUUUUCUAUUGGUGGCAGAUCAUUUGAUUUUCAAAUUUGUUAUAAUGAAAGUAAGACAAAAUACAUGGAAAAGAAACGGUCGACUUAGUCUUUUAAAAAAAAAAAUUUAUUAUCAUAGUGUUUGGCCCCAAAAUAUUAUUUUGGGCUGAGCCUGGGAUUAUUCUCGGCCCAGUAGAGUUUAUCUAGAAUUUUCUUGUGGGCCGUCCAGUUAAGGUCGGCCAAAUCUUGUUGCGAGGAGGAUUAGUUUAGAUAAGGGUGAAGUAGUCGACUCCUAGUGCAGCAACGAGUCUUAAAGCUAAUCAGGAGAUGAAUCUGAUUUGUUAUGGAGUUUGGUUCAAAGUCAUAUUGGAGCUAGGACUGGCCGAAACCUAAUUAGAUAGGGUUGAGGAGUUCUAAUCCGAGUACAUUUCUAGUUCAGUUACGAGGGGGUUUUGCUGCUAUAAAUAGAGAAAGAAGUGCAUCAUUCAAAACCCUCUCCAAUUCAACACAUAAAAUUGCCCUGCACAAAGUUUCUCAACAACCUUGAGAUUUUAUCUUCUUCCCCUUUCUUCCUGCCAACACAUCUUCAGUUUGGAUAAACAACACUGUGAAGGUAACCGGCGACAUCUUUAGUUUGGAUAAACAACACUGGAGUCAUAGAAUCAACCGAUAAAGGAGCACCUUCAUAUUGGUUAGACAUCACUGCUUUAAGGCCGACUGGUUAUUAUCCAAGUCUCGGUUGACAAGGAUUCUUAAGUCCUUGAUGGUAGAGGUCAUCUAUUAGGCUUGGCACAUUGAACGCCAAGUUUGUUUUAUGAUUGGGUACUCACAGGUACAUUUUAGAGUUCGGCAUUCUGACGACCGAACCACGUUUACCAUCAAGACAUUUAUCUCAUUCGAGUAUUUGUGUCUGUAUAGUCUGGUGCCAGUUCAGCGUGUUUAUACUCUUACAAAUAUAAUCACCAUAAUCGAACCCAGCGUCGACGAUCCGUGAACUUCGUAAGACUAGCAGCCUUAUCUUCAAGCUCUAGAACUCAAAGGCCGAGACGUGUUCCUUUCUCGACUGCAAUCGCAAGAUCGAGAAGUCAGGAGUGCUCUCAAUUUAACAUCAGCAUAUUUUACUCUCCGGUCGAGCUCGGUCGUCGAGUUGGCAUGCCCCGCACAUAACUGAAAGACGUAAUUAGCUCAUUAGUUACUCGGCCUGCGCGCCACGUAGGCUUGGUAGUUUUUAGGGUCAACACAUAAGAAGAGCAGAAUUUUGAACCCAUAAAACAUAGGCGUAAACCCUACACCCUAGCCACUAGGAUAUUAGACCAUAUGCACAAUCGACUCAGUCCCACAUCAAAUGAAGUCCACCGAGGUCAAGCUUCUUAAAAGUUAACUCUGAUGGGUCUAUAGUUGGUGAAAAGACUAUUGCAAAGGUUUGUUAUCAGGGUUUCUUUUCAAUCAAUCUCUUGGAAACAUAUCUUUGGAGAGACCAAUUUCCUUGCAGAUUUUGUCACUAGUGUGGGACUCAAUAUUAGUGAUACUUAUAUACGAGAUCAUACCUCCCUACAAAUGCUAGGCAUGCUCUUAUAUUUGAUCUUUUUGGAACUGGUUGUACUCAACAAUUUUCUGAAGAAAAGAUGCACGGGCCACUAUUUCUCUUAUAUACGCUACGCUAUUUGAAGAUAAUGAUUUGAAUGCCUAUCCCCUACCUAUGCACUUUCCUUUACUACCUUGAAGUGGAUCUCCUAUCUAUAUUCGACAGCUUGAAGAGGGAAGAAGAAGUAAAGCGAAUGCUCGUUCUGUUGGAACUCUCGAUCUGAUCUUGAAACAGGGGAAGGGAGAUCGAUCUCAAUCUCUCGAAUCCUUCUCUCCUUCCCAACGUUAUUUGUCCAAGGGGAAAAGGCUUGCAAACAGUAUUUUUUUGAAAAAAAAAACACUAUGUUUCUUCCUUUGUUACUAUAAUGAAAAUUAUAGUUUGUCAACCAAAACGUAAUUAUAAUUUUAAUUUUGCACGUUAGCGGAAUACAUGUGGCAUGAAAAAAAGUUAGACUGUUAAAAUGAGAAUGUAACUGAGGAUUGAAAGCACUUUAUAGAAAGAAAAUGAAUGAUUAUGCGAUAUUUACUCGUUGCUAGGCCCGAAUUAAACUAGCAUAAUUUCUCCUUUAAAGAAUUGGGCCUCCAUCCUCCCCAGUCUAUGGUACCCCAACUCAAUAAGAAAACAUUAAGAUGUGUUGGACCAAGGUGAUGAAACCCAAAGAUGCCAACCACCAACCAUACGUCUAAUAACGAAGGAAGCUUAAAACAUCUUACAACAUCAUUACUAUUUAAGUCCCCCAAAAUAGGGAUCAUUCAGUAUUAAGGUCUAAUGGUAUUUCUCUUCAUUUGUAAGUGAAAGGUCUUACGUUCGAACCUCGUAAAUGACAAAUUCGAUACCAAAUUAUGUUACCCAUUACGUGGCUUAGCCAAUCUCCUCCCUACCAUAGUGUAAAAUAUAUUGUUGUACUUAUAAAAACAAAAAAGGCCCCCAAAACAGAGAUUUUCGUAUAUGUUAUACACCAAGAUUUUUGUGUAAUUAAAUUAUUGGUCAAAGAUCAAUACUUAAAGAUCCAAUGCUUAGGAUCUAAUGUUAAAAAGACCCAUAGUGUAUUUUUACUCACACCUCUAAAGUAAGGGUUAUGCUCACUCCAUUUUGCUGUUAGAUUAGUUUAAAUUUCAAGAUUCAUGUCCCAAAUCAAUUAAAACAAACUAAUCUAACGGCAAUCCAUGAAGUGUGUUGAUGCACAAAAUCAGUGAUGACUUUGGAACAAUGUAAAGUGUCAAGUUUGUGACCUUCGCUCAGUUGCUCCGGUCACCUAGUAAGGAUAAUAUGUAAAGAGAUAGCGAAAGGGAAGCAAACACAAGAUGUACGUGGUUCACCAUAAAUUUGACUACAUCCAUGAAGUAGAGGAGUUCUCAUUAAUAGUGAAGGGUUUACACAAAUACAUAUGUUCAAGCAUAAUCAUCAUUAGUGAGCUCUAACGACUAGUUUAAGUACAAUAUUGACAUUAGAGAUUCAUUGUAGGAGAAUUGUUUUCUUUUAUAGUUCAGGAGAGUCUUCAACUUUUGUCCGCAGUCGAUGUGGGACUCGAUGAGCUUUAUUCUGAUGUUGACAUGUGUCAUGCUGUGAUUGACCUCCUGGUUGGAGGGAAACUCUUGUGCUUCGGCCGGGGUGCCUCAGUGGAUCCUUGAAACUAUGAAGUAGAUCGAUGCUUGGUAAUUUCGGGAUUGGUCAAGUAUGGUACAAACAGUGGUCCCCUAAGUUCUCGUGUGAGGAAAGCUUUUUGGUUGGGGACUUGAAAAAUCCAAGUCACUAAGUAAUCACGAAACUUCUGAGUACCGAAGUGUAGUAGCAUAUAGUGGGAGUCCCCCAAGUAUCCAAGUGAAGAGGAUAAUCGAAGGAGGUGGCUUGAUAUUCUUGAGUCAUUAGAAAAAAGACUUCAAAAAUUCUAUCCUCAUUUUUUUUUUUAUGAACUUAGCUCAAGUAUAUAUAUUUUUUCUUAAGCCCAAUUCCUUCUUUCUUUUGGUGAGAAAAGAAAAUGUGGUUGAAACCUUUUCCUUUGUGUACAUACCUUGAAUGGUUGAAGUUUUUGCCUUUGGGCACAUAGCUUGAGUGGUUGAAGCUUUGUAGGUGAAACUUUUUUGUUGAAACUUUGUAGGUGAAGCUUUUUCCUUUGGGCACAUAGAUUAAGUGGUUGAAACUUUGUAGGUGAAGCUUUUUGGUUGAACUUUGUGGGUGAAGCUUUGUAGGUGAAUUUUUUUGGUUGAAGCUCUAUAGGUGAAGCCUUUUGGUUGAAGCUUUGUAGGUGAAGCUUUUUGGUUGAAGCUUUGUAGGUGAAACUUUUUGGUUGAGGCUUUGUAGGUGAAACUUUUUGGUUAAAGCUUUUUUUAACCACAUAAAAAGAUUUUGCUUCCACAUUCUUUAGCAAAAGUGUGGAAGGCUUUUUGAAUUUUUUGUUGAAGCUUUCGGUUGAAGAUUUUGGUUGAAGCUUUUUUGAACCACAUAAAUAAAUUUUGCUUCCACACUCUUGAGCAAAAGUGUGGAAGGCUUUUUGAAUUUUUUGUAGUUAGGCAAAGUGUGAAGCUUCCUCCCUUCAAGGUGUGGGAGGCUUCUUCCCUCAAAGUGUGUGAAGGCUUUUUCCCUUUAAGGGUGUGGGAAGCUCUCUCCCUUGGAUGUGGGUAGCUCUUUCCCUUCAAGGGUGUAGGUAGCUAUCUCCCUUCAAGGGUGUGGGUAGCUAUUUCCCUUAGGUGUGAAAAGCUCUCUCCUUUCAAGGGUGUGGGAAGCUCCCUCCCUUCAAAGUGUGGUAAGCUCUACCCUUCAAAGUUGUGGGAACCUUCCUCCCUUCGACGUGUGGGAAACUUCCUUUCCUUCGAAGUAUGGGAAGCUCCCUCCCUUCAAAGGUGUGGGAAGCUUCCUCCCUUCAAAGUGUGGAAAGCUUCCUUCCCUUAAAGUGUGGGAAGCUCCUCCCUUCAAGGGUGUGGGAAGCUCUACCCUUCAAAAUGUGAGAAGCAUUUUAUAAGACUCCAUAAAUUGAUUUUGCUUCUACACUCUUGAGCAAGAAGGCUGAUGAGAUGACCUCUACCAACAAGAACUCGAAAAUCCUUGUUGACCGAGACUUGGAUAAAUAACUAGUCGGUCUUGAAGCAGUGUUGUUUAUCCAAACUGAAUGUGCUCCUUGGUCAUUUGAUUCUACAACUCCAAUGUUGUUUAUCCAAACUGAAGUUGUCACCGGUUGCCUUCACAAUGUUGUUUAUCCAAACUGGAGAUGUGUUGGCGAAAAAAAAAUAAAAAAUAAAAAUCUCAAGGUGUUUGAGAGGUUUACGUAGGGCAAUUGUGUGUUGAAUUGGAUGAGUUGUCCUCAUUGCAGAUUGUCCUAUAUUUAUAAGGGUGAACUUUCACGAUGACCAGAUAACCAAGUUACAGAGUUCUCUGCAAACCAUACCUUGUGAAAUAAUAAUCAUGAACUACCACGCAUUAUCCUUUGAAUUUUGGUGAUAUCGUAAUGUUAAUCAUUGAGAUGCAUUGGACCUUUUAAUCUUCAUUGUACAUCACCAUCUUAAUGUUUCAAACGGACAAAAAUGGCAUAUUCAUAUGCUAAUCAUCCAAAGUUGCAUCCUUGUACCAUUGUUCCACGUGGUUCUGGAUGCAAACCCAUUCAAAUAUGGAAUCCAUGCAACUGACUAGAUACAUUUUGAUUAGGAUAGAAUCCUAAAGCUACACGGAAAGCCCUCACAUAACUCUUCUUACUGCCGUGUUGAUUGUAAGGGGUUGGCAAGUAGCCAGCUAUGCAAUCUCUUUUAAUUUCUCCACAACCCGAUAAAACCUUUGAUUAUCUGCAAAAGGAUCCCACGCAUAACUCUGUAAGCUUUAAUGAUAUUUUCAAGAUAAUUAUUAUGAUUAAAAUCAAUAGUAAUGCCAAGAAAAAUCUCUUAAUUUUCAUAGUCAUCCGACGACCACAAUUGCUUGGGCCGAAAAUGCAAAAUCGGGUCCAAACAACCAUAUAAGACGAUUUUGCUUCCAAACUCUUGAGCAAGAGUGUAGAAGACAAUCUACAUGUUGUAGUUGUUGAAGGGUUGUUGAACCAUAUAAUACGAUUUUUCCUCCACACUCUUGAGCAAGAAUGUGGAAGGCUUUGUUGAGUUUGUAUAUGCCUUUUCCGAAUUCUAAGGCUUGAAAUUUUUCAACUGCUUAUGAAUGUUAAGAAUCCACAGGUGCAUGUUGUACUAUUCUUCCCUAGUUGAUGAAAAGAAGGUAAGUUCUUUCAUCACUUGGUUGGUGAGAAGAGUGGUGAGUUGUUGAGGCAAAAAUGUUUAAUAAAGUACUAGUUGUAUCUUCCACCACUUGGUUGGUGAUAAGAAGGUGAGUUCCUUGAUCACCUAGUUGGUAAGAAGAGUGGCAAGUUGCUGAAUCUCAAUAUUGUUUAUUAGAGUACUGGUUGUGCCCUUCAUCACCUGGUUGGUGAUAUGAAGGUGAGUUCCUUCAUCAUCUGGUUGGUAAGAAGAGUGGCAAGUUGCCAAAACUUAAAAUUGUUUCUUAGAGUAUUGGUUGUACUCUUCAUCACCUGGUUGGUGAAACAAAGAUGAGUGCUUCAUCACCUGGUUGGUGGAAAGAACGGCGAGUUACCAAGGUACAUUGUAGCACGUGCCAAAAGAAAAAAAGUGUAUGUUAACACCCUUUCGUAAUUAUGUAUGAAUGUUUUGGAGGGUAUGAAGUUUAUGUUGAUUGACAUAAGUAAUACUUAUGACAUGAGUGAUGUUCAUGACAUGCAUGUUGUUUAUGAAUGUUUUGCUGUGCAUGAAGGAAUCCAUUGUUUGGAUAUGUGAACCGUGUUGGUUAUACCACUUAGUUUCACUUACUUGGUGUUGAAGUACGUAUGUUGAUGCUUUAAGUUAAAGUAUAGAGGUAGGUUAGAGUUAGACCUAGUGUCCAGUGUUAGGAAUGCAAAAGACUUAGACGAAGUUGUCUGAAUUGCCUCUUCAUUAAAUAUUUUCCAAAUGGCUUGUGUUACAAAGGAUGUCAAACGGUUGAAGGUUGAAACAUUUGUUAUGCGUAUGCCUUUCUAUAAUAGCAUUUUCUUCAGUAUCCAGUCCUCCACUUUGAAAAAACGAUGUUUGACCCCAUGGUCAUAACAGUUGAAGGUACGUUCACCCCUGAUUGUCUUGAAACGAACCUUUAUUCCUCUUGUUGUAAUAAGCUUGUUGAGAGUAAAAAUUCUUCCUUUUGCCAAAAGGCAAAUAAGCCUGGUCACCUGGCAGGUUGCUAAGUGGGGCAGGAGGGGAUGCAAUGAGUGUUUGGAUGGCCAAAACCUUCUCACUUGGUAGAACUUGACAUUUACUCCCUACUUGUUGAUAGGGGUUUACCUUAUGAGGGUUCCCUUGGUAUGUCCUUGCCUCAGCAAAUGCAUGAUUGUAAGCUUGCGUCAUCACCUCAAAGUAAGUCUUCCAAGUGUUAGCAUUGAUCAUCUAAUUGAAGUAGAAUUCACGCAUGCCUACUGUGAAGGCCCUGAAUGUUGUUUUGUCAUCUGCCUCAGCACAACGACAGUACUCGUGGUUAAAGCGACCGACAUAUUCUCGCAAUGACUUGUUUGAUUUUUUACGAAUAGUGUAUAACUCAUUAGCAAAGUGUAAACGAUCAGCUUGGAAGAUAUGUUGAGCCACAAAGAGUCUCCUUAGCUCAGCAAAAGAAUCUAUCGUAUCAGGUUGAAGACCACAAUACCAAUUAAGAGUUCCACCAGAGAGAAUGGAGGGAAAAAUGAGAUAUCGUUCCUCAUCACUAUAUCUUCGAUAUGUUAUGGUGGAUUCAAAGAGGUGGAUAUGUUCAAUUGGAUUUUCUCUCUCUGAAUAAGAUUGCAAGCCAAGCUUCUAUUUUAUUUCUCCUCGUAGAAAAGUGCAAAGGAUCAUUUUUAUCAGAUGGCUUAGCCUUGGCUGAUUCCAGUCAGGUAUCCUAGCGUGACGUUCAGCCUUCAACUUGUUCACUUCCUCAAUGAGCUGCAAGAUAAGGGGGUCCUAAGUGGAGUCGGACAUCAUUAAUGAUUUCUUUUGUAGGUUUCCAUCAUUUCUUGAAAGUAGGGAAGAUCAGUCAAGGACAUCUGGCAUUUCCUUGGACUCAAUAUAUUGGCUAUUCUAAUGUGCUUAUUGAAAGUCCCCUGAGUCUCAUACGCCCUUUUGUUGCCGCAAGGCUUGUCGUUCCUUUCCUAGAUUAGGGGUUGGCCUAUGUUAUAAUAGAGGACUUAGCCCUUCAAUGACCCUUGGGUCUUUGAUCUUUGAGCCUAUAUGGAUAGAAUUUUCUCGACGCUAUCUCAAGAAGUCUCAACAGUCAAGGUAAACGGCUCUCGAUCAUUUUUUUUCUUUUGUAAAAAGAUGUCUUCCUCCAUAUAUUUUGCUUUAGUAUGAAGAAGUUGGGUUGAAAGAAGUCUCGUAUUGAUCGACAUUAUGGCGAAAAGAUCGUUCCUCAUUAAGAACGCCCAUGUUGAAGAUAUGUGAACUCUCGUGUUAGUGGGUACUCAUGUGGUGAUUCACAAUCACAGGGGUGAUAAGCUCGUAAGACUGAGUCUGUUUAGCCUCGUAGAGCAUCUCGAAGAGCUUUUAUAUUGUUCUUGGAAGAUCUCAUUUAUGAUCGCUAUCUUGUUGUUCUAAGCCUCUAGCUCUUCGACCCUGGCUUGAAGAGUAAACUUCUUUCUUUCCUUCCUUCGCCGCCUCACACUAGGAACUAGAGGAUGUUAUUCUGCGUGUUAUGGCUCCCUUCACUCCCCAUGUUGGAAAAUGAUGCCUAAUCAAAGGAGAGUGUACAAACGAUGGAAACCAGCUUGACAAAGCUGGGGAUAGUAGGAAUAAGUGUUGUUCCCACAGACGGUGCCAAAUGUUGAUGCAUAAAAUCAGUGAAGACUUUGGAACAACGUAAAGUGUUAAGUUUGUGACCUUCGCUCGGUUGCUUGGUCACCUAGUGAGGAUAAUAUGUAAAGAGAUAGAGAUAAGGAAGCAAACACAAGAUGUAUGUGGUUCACCCUAAGUUUGGCUACGUCCACGAAGUAGAUGAGUUCUCAUUAAUAGUGAAGAGUUUACAAAAAUACAUAGAUUGAAGCAUAAUCAUCAUUAGUGAGUUCUAAUGACUAGUUUUAGUACAAUAAUGAUAUUAGGGAUUCAUGUAGGAGAAUGGUCUUCUUUUAUAGUUGAUGAGAGUCUUCAGCUUUUGUCUGCGGUCGAUGUGAGACUCUAUGAGCUUUAUUCUGACGUUGACAUGUAUCGUGUUAUGAUUGGCCUUCUGGUUGGAGGAAAACUCUUGUGCUUCGACUGGGGUGCCUUAGCAUGAACCCCUCUGUGGAUCCUUAAAGGUAUAAAGUUGACCGAUGCUUGGUAGUUUCGGGAUUGGUCAAGUAUCGUACAAACAAAGUGUAUAACAGUAAAAAAUCUUAGAACUUUUGCCAAAAGCAUAGGCAAUUGACAAAAUAAAUAUAAGCCUGGAUCAUUUUUUUCCACACUGUAAUCGUGGGUACGAAAGAAGGUUCUCGCUUCUCAGUAGAAUCUGAAAUUACUCCCAUUUUCCCGAAGUCAUAGAGAUGCCAUAAAAUUGAGUUAUAUUCCUCACCGAUGCUAUCAUAGUAUCAUUACAGAAUGGAACCACAUUCUAUUCACAAGUGACAAAGACAAUGCCUUAAAAGGUUUCGCUAAUCUAAAUAACGGUUCAAAAAAUGUUCGUAUGUCAUACGCAUUUGAAUGGCACCGGUGGCAUUCUCGAGCGAUUUACCAUAAAUUAGGAUAAGGUGGAAAAUUAAUAAGUUCCUUAGAUCCAAAAUUUAGAAACCACAAAAUUAGUUUGAUGUCUAGUUUAAGCAAGAUAAGAGUACCAAGUAAUGUGUAAAUUAUGUAAUAUGUCAUCAAUAAAAAAUAAACACGUUAAUUAAUACUUAAUUAAUAAUCUAAUUAUCAACUAGCACAUAAUAUAAUUUACAAAAUAUAAUUUACAUACAUGAUCUCGUAGCAUUACCCAUAAUUUUAAUUUAAUCAUUGGAUGUGCUUUAAUGUGGCUAAAACAGUAAAACUCCUUGCAAGCAAAAGUAACAGCAACCAAAAUGGCGUUUUCUAACAAGCCAUGUCAGCUUCUUGGCCUUACUUCACGUGGCCGAUUUUGAAACGACAACAUUAUCACCGUCGUAUGUACUGCACGACUCGAUAAAAUCCCUAAGAAUGUCGUACAGAACUUGGGCCAUGCUGGGGUCGAAGAGCUCCACGCCAUGAAACCCCUCCUCGUCAAACUUGGCCACCACGUGCGCCCCACGUGACUCAAGUAACGCCACAAACUCUUUCUGCCUAUCCAUCAGCGGGUCCCCACCGUACCCUCUAACCAAACGCCUCGGCAACCGUUCGAUCCUCCCAUCCCCAACUCCCGCCGUCGGAUUACAAUACUCGUGAUCCCGAUCGACUCCCUUUGGCAAAGCCGUGGCCCACAUCAAGUCGUUAACGACCAGCUGGCAAAAUGUCCGAUCGUUGAUCAACCUCAUCUCGGAUUCAGUCCUAUGGACCCCACCGAAAAAAGGCUGGUUUAGUAUCAGCCCUCGGAUCUUCAUCGGCAAGAGAUCAUCCACCUCCGUGGAAGUAGAUGAUGAGAGGGAGGUUGGGGUUUGGAGGGUGGGGUUUGAAGAGCCUGAGGAAGGUUUUGUUUUCUGGGUUUAAGGGAGUGUCCUUGGAGAGGACGAGUUGGGGAGAGUUGGAGUCUGACUCGGCGGCGGUGGCGGGAAUGGACUCGGUGGGGGUGGGAGUUGGGGAGACGGUGGGGAAAGGGGUGAAGCGGGAAGACUGCUGCAGGGAUUGUUCCUAGGGUUUCUUUUCAGUCAAUCUCUUGGAAACAUAUCUUUUUGGAGAGGCCAUUUUCCUUGGAGAUUUUGCCGCGUAAGACUCAAUAUUAGUGAUACUUUUAUAUGGGAUCGCACUCUGUUAUGAGUGAUAGGGCUAGUUUGGUAUUGUAAGUGCUAAGGCUAGUUUGGGAUUGCACCCAUAAAUAUGUCUCAUUGCAAACCUCAUCCCUUCGCUCUUCUCACCCAUCUUUCACUCAAACUCUCCCAUCCCCAAGUUUUAAAAACCCAAACAAAUAAAUAAUGAAAUUUCAAACAAGGCAAGCUUACCAAGAGAAGGGCGCCAAGCCGGGAGAACACAUGUGGCAUGAAAAAAGCACUUUACAGAAAGAAAAUGAAUGAUCAUGCAAUAUUUACACGUUGCUGGGCCCGACUUAAACUAGCUCAGUUUCUCCUUUAAAGAGUUGGGCCUCCAUCCUCCCCAAUCUAUGGUACCCAACUCAAUAAGAAAACAUUAAGAAAUGUUGGACCAAGGCGGUAAAGUAAAAGUGAUGCUCACUCCAUCAUUGAUUGCCGUUAAAUUAGUUUAAAUCUUAAAUCAAUUACACCAAACUAAUCUAACGGCAACUAAUGGGGCGCAUAAGGGUAAAAAAAUCUAGAAUUUUCGCCAAAAACAUAGGCAAUUGACAAAAUAUAUAUAAGCCAGGAUCAUUUUUUUUCACUGUCUAAUCUGGAUAUGAAAGAAAGUUUUCACUAGUCAGUAGAAUCUGAAUUUACUCUCAUUUUCCCUUUUACAAGUCACAGAGAUGCCAUAAAAUUGGGUUGUAUUCCUCACCAAGCCGUCAUGACAGAAUGGAAUCACAUUCUAUUCACAAGUGACAAAGACAAUGCACUUAAAAGGUUUUGCUGAUCUAAGUACCAGUUCAAACAAUGUUCGUAUGUCAUACCGUAUGACUCAUACGUAUUCAAAUGGCACCGGUGACAUUCUCGAGCGAUUUACCAUGGUAAAUUAGGAUAGAAUGAAAUUUAAAAAGUUCAUUGGAUCCAAAAUUUAGAAACCACAAAAUUAGUGUGAUGUCUAGGAAUUGAAGAUUUCCAGCAUCCUAUUCAGCUCAAAAAAAAAAACACUUGCUUCAUUCCUAUGAGCAAUGCAGUUUGAUCACGUAAUGUGUAGUAGUGAUGGGGUGGCCAAAAAACACUUGCGUCAUUUCUCAAAAUAGUACAAAGCACAGCCGAAACACAAGUCUACAAGCAAGUCUCUCUCGUACAUUCCACCACCACAAAAAGCACUAGGCUUCUCAUACAACACUAACAACAGUAAGAGAGAAUUUAAUUCUUCCAAACAGAAUGUGCCAUGGCAAGUGCCUUCGCCCAUGAGCGGUAGG
rnacentral:lncRNA from 1 species